GCUAGCUGGGGAAAGCUUCUCCAGGACUGAGCCACAUCUCUCACUCCUUUUGCCUUUAUGAAGAGCAAAGAUAGGCUGCACUAGUGGCGGGAGCUGCACGUUCAAAAGGGAGAACCAGGUGGGAAAUUCAAAAAUGCUCCGUGCUGUAUAUGGGAAUGACACUCUGUGCAUUUGCCAGCUUCCUCAUUAGGGCAGUUUGUUUUAUUGGAUAGUACAGUUAAGUGCUGGCCUGGAUUUAAAUGGGAAGAGUCGUGACUCAUGCCUACCAUCAGGUGCUCAUCUGACAAACCACCGUGUCAGCACGGGGACAGCCAUAACUGCUUCCACGGCCAUGGAUCAGAGCCGCUCUGGCACAGCAGAGACUGCUCUGUGCUGAAACCAAUCUGACCCGUGGGACUUGCACAGAGCUGAAGCAGUCGUUGGCUCCACAGGGAUCACAUUUUUGCACAGGAGGAAAGCUCUCCUCCCUUGCUGGACACUAAUGUACAGCAGGAUAGCUGGGGAAUGAUUUCUGAGACAGUUUAAUGAAAAAGCUGGGGGCAAAGAGCCACCGAGCUGCUGUGGGAGCAUACUGGGAGAAUCUGAGAUGUGUAACUCCGCACCCACCUGCCACGAGCUCGCUUCUUGCCCUAAAUGAAGCCAUUCUGAGGCGCCUGCGAGCAGCCGCCCUUUGUUAUCCCUUGAAAUCAUCUACGGCACUGGGUGCAGAGACAAUGUUUCCUGCAUCAUCACCUUGUCCUCAUCUUGUUAACAACCAGGAAAAAUGCCUUUUGGAGUGUGAGGAGGAACUUAGCUGAAGAAAAACACAGAUUUUAAUGGGAGUCAUGCUGCUAAUCCCAGCUGAGCACCUUCACAAAUUGACACUUGAUGUCUACACCUUAAAUAUUUUCUUAGGCAUUGAAGCAGAUAGGCCGUCUUUCACAUUUUUAAACAGGCUUGGGAAGUGCUUUACAAUGUUGGUCUUUUUGUUCCUUGAGCGCUGCUAAUAUGCUUUGACACAGUGUGCACACCGGGUCUCCUUUCAGCAGACCUUUGAGAUAAGCGACUUUCUGUGAGUUUAACUGAGAGUUUGCAGUCAUCAUUGAAGCCACAUUUCUGAAAGCCAGCCCCUCUGAAUGGGACACGUGCACUGCGAAAUGCAGCCCCAAGCUGCCUCCAACAGGGCCCCAGCCAGGAUCCGUGGGGUUCUUCAGCUGGGCACAGCAUCACGCUUCGGGUCUGCACUGCCUCGGUGCUGUGCUCCCCUGCUGUGGCGCUCCGCUUGCUGGAAGCGGUGAAAAGGACUCUGUGCCUGACUUCAUCCGCUCAUAGAGACGUUGCUGCUGCUCAUCUCCCAGCACCUUGCUGGCAAGUGUAGGGAUGGAAAGGGCUUCCUGAGUCACCGACCUACAUUUCCUGUCUCUGCAGGCUCUACAUAAUGGGAAGCACUCGUGCAUUGUUCAGAUUCCACUUAUGCUCCAGUUCUACUUUCCUGACAGCUAUUUAUCUUUUAUUUUGCUUUUCUUCCUGCACCACUGCUACCUAAUUUAUUUGAGACUUAGUCUCUACUUCAUAAACUCCACCUCUUCUCUUGUGAGAUUAAUUUAGGGAGUGGUAUUUGAGGACUGAAAUGUUCAUCCACAAUUUGUAUUCAUGUGGAAAAAGCCAAAUUCAUUGAAAAACUAGUUGAAUUUAUUUGAGAAGACUUGAGCUCAAAAGAAUAAAAAUAAACAAAAGUAGCAGAGCUCUGGACAUCUCUGACAGGAGGGCUGGGAGCAGCUAUGAAAGAAGGAGGUAUGAGCAUCUUAGCACAGGUGGCUUUGUGCCUUGGAACCAAGGGAAGCUGUGGUGGGUUUGGCUGUUACUUUUUCUCUUCCUUCCAGUUGAAAAGACAUUUGAUCCUCAUGCAGUUUUGGACAGGAAGUUAUCAAAUAGAUUUUCAGUGUUGUGGUGUAAAUAUGUUCUGUGUAUUUGAUACCACGUAGAAGUUGACUCAGCACCCACUGAAGUUGGUGCAAGAACUUGUAAAGAAAAAUUUCAGAGAGGAAGCUCCAGUUGGAAACACAUGCAAGAAGCACCAUGAGAGAAAGCUGACAGUUGUUGCAUCCCAAGCACAUUGUGGGCAUACUUUCAUUUUUACAGAGGGAAAACAAGGACGCGAUCCAUCUCCUGCCCCUUGGGUGGUCCCCAGUGCAGUGGUUGGCCUUUUGGUCACUUCUGCAGGGCCCCUAGUUGCUGAUUCAGACAUACGUUGGCUUAGUGUAGCCACGGAAGUACCUGAUGCUGUGCUAAACAUGAAAUCAUGGUAUUUCCAGAGUCAGAAGACAAUUCUCUUGCAAACUACAGUAUCUGUGGCCCUGUCAGCAGUAAUGACUGAAAAUGAGCUACUCAUACUCCACUGAAUCAAGCUGACACUAAGAUAAUUAUAUUUGUCUUACACUCUCAUGUCUCCUUAUGUUAGUGUUGUAGACCGAAAUGAAAUAAAAA